CGCACAUAACCCAACCGACCCUGCCGACUGCUGUGUUGAGAGAUCAAACAUAAAACCCUAAAUGUCUAAUUAAAUUCCUGUGGCGUCGCAGCUCUGGCUGCCUCCUGCUGGUGCACUGCUGCGAUCCACUCCCCGAGCGGCUGAGCUCGAGUCCUUGUCUGAUCGUCUCCUCCACACUUCCAUAGGCGUCAGGUCCCCCAACUCCAAAGACUACUCUCCACUCUCCAAUAAUCUAAUUAAGGGAACUCCUGUUGCUGUUAAAAGGCUCCUCAAUAAUCAGCCCCCCCAGCUCCAUAGACCAUACUCUCCACAAAUGCAGUCCGGACGGCGGAUUGGAUUCGAUUAUCCUGGCAAACCCAGCGGACGUCAGCCAUUUCGGCUACUUCCAGAGGUCAAGCGUCAAGGAGUUCAUCGUCUUCAUCAGUCGUAUCGUCGCCAAGCGAAUGCCUUCCGGCCAGCCCCAGUCUGUCCAGCAUGAAGAUAUUCAACCGGCCUACAAGCGUUGUCGACUGCCCCUUUGAUGGUUCGAAAAAAUAGUCAUGGGCUACUAGAUGAUUAACUGCCUCCUUUAGAUGAUUGACCACUAGAUCUCGAAAGUGCAUAUUGUUUGCAUUUCUUCAUGAUUUUCUUCAAGAUUUUAAGAAUUAUUGAAUCUAUACACUCAUUAAAGGGUA